AUGGCUCUAACUGAAGACCAACAGCUCUACUAUAGCUGUUGGUUUUAUACAGAUGCCUUAGAGGAUUAUCUUCCCAUGAUCUGUCGGCUGUUCUGGAACCUCAGUAGAGAAUGGCUAUUUCAUUUGGAAGAGACAGCA
ensembl:snoRNA